rnacentral:rRNA from 1 species
UACAGAGGUCUCAAGCGUUGUUCGGAUUCAUUGGGCGUAAAGGGUGCGUAGGUGGGCAGGUAAGUCAGUGGUGAAAUCUCCGGGCUUAACUCGGAAACUGCCAUUGAUACUAUCUUUCUUGAAUACCGUGGAGGUCAGCGGAAUAUGUCAUGUAGCGGUGAAAUGCUUAGAUAUGACAUAGAACACCAAUUGCGAAGGCAGCUGGCUACACGAAUAUUGACACUGAUGCACGAAAGCGUGGGGAUCAAACAGG